UACAUGAUGCGAUCUUUAUCCUCAGCAUUCAGCCAACCCUUGAUAUGAUCAAACCAGGAACCAUGAAGAACUAGAAGGGAGAGAAAAUCACAUGAACUUUUGGAGGAACUCUCUCUGUGGGCCCGGGUUCACCAGGAAUGAGGCCACUUUGGAAUAAUCUCAAGGUUGCAGGAUGAAUAGAUCUCCAGCCAGGGCACUCGGUCCCAGUUGUGGAGAGACUCAACGGAGGCCGGAUCGCCUCCACUCGUGAUCAGUGGGACAAUUUCCUGCAUCCAAGUUGUGCCUGAAUAAAGAAAACAGCCCAUUCCAAAUGGGUAUGUUUAGAACAGGCACUUCACUAGUGUGUGUAAAUUACUGUUAUCAUAUGAUCCUCUGGAAAAAAGGAUUUAAGAAAGUUGUUUCAGAGUAGAGGUUCUUCUCUCACUAACUGUCUGUGAAAGUAGCAGACAAACUGACUGCAGCUAAGUUUAAUAAGUGACAACCGAUAUGAGGAACCCUACAUUGCAACCAGCAAACAUUGUAGGCCAAUGUUUGUCGGUUGCUGGCUCACCAUUUAAUAAUUACAAGCUGUGGCUGAAUGUUUACACUUAUUUGCUAAUGUUUGUCUCGUUUCCAAAUAAUAUUCCACAUUCACAAAUGGUGCUCACUGUGGGAUAGAAACAAUACGUGUGUGCAGACCUGCAAUAAAGUAGUUCUUGGUUGUCAGCAACAAAAAGUAACCUUGACCUGCUAUUUUUGUUGAGGUAAACUGAAAGACGCUGUAUGGGCUGAGUUUUAUUUACAUGUGCUCCAAUAAGAAGAGUCCGAGGUAAAUAAUUCCUCCUGUUUGCAGGUGACACAAAUAUUUUUUGUUCUGGCCUGAAUAUGAUUUAGUUGAAGAUAGUUACAGAUAGUGUUUGUAAAACAGUAAAACUUAAGAUGAUGAAAAUGUGUUUUUAAUCGAAAUAACAGUAAAUUCAUGACUUUUGGUGAUUAAAAACGUAUGAUGAAAUCAAGAUGGUUAUAGAGUUCAUAUUGAAAGAGUUUCUGAGGCAAAAUUUGAGGUUACUUACUGUAAUAAAUGACAAACUUACUAUGAAACCACUCAUAGAGUAUAUAAAGGGGAAGUGAGCAAAAGUAAUGUAGUCUUGUAUGAAGCAAAGGAGAAUUUAGACACAAAGAGCAUUAAGACUUAAAAACAAAGUCAAUGUAAGAGAACAUACCUAUAAACUGUUUAAGAAGUCACAUGUGUUGAAAGGUAAAGAUGUAGUUGUCUUACAAAUAGUAUUUGUUAUAUUGAAAUGUUGAAAUGAAAGGAAAUCAGUAAAAGAGAUGACCAUUUUGAUAUAUUGUUUGUAUGAAAGGAGCCUCUGA